CUCAAAGCGAAGAAGAAACGAUCUGAGAGAAAAGAAGCAUGAAAAGGGCUAAGACGAAAGGUAAAAAGUUUAAGAAGAUAAGAUAAAUAAGAAGAGCGAAGAAAACCCAGGCUAAUUCCUCUCUCGGUACUCAGCCAACGAGGUUGUCUAAGCAUUCCUCCCUGUGGCACCAUGCAGAUACAGCACCGUGUAGAGUUACAGCAACAUGGGAAUUAAGCUCAUCGGCUGAUUCGUGCACACAGAGGGCAUAUAAAAGCAAUUUUGAAUGCAAAUUAGACUUCCCUUCCAAGGCAGCGUUCACCGCUGGCUGACCUCGGACUGAGACACGCAGAGGACAACAGCAGCUCGGGGAUGAGAAGAAAAUGAGGAGAAUGGCCGUGAUGAAAGAAUGACACUGGACACUGCUGUCCCUGCUGCUGCGACAACAGAUGCAGCUUCAUAAAUCUGUGAUUCCCCUGAAAGCUAUCGGCCUGAAUACAGACGACAAUAAUGUUGGUUCUCCGCUCUGAGGAGACCUGGGAGGGAAGAAGAACAGGCUGCAAGGUUUAGGUCAAGAGAAGUCAUUGUUAUCACAUUUAAAACAACGUGCUGUCCAAAAGAGAACUGAGAGAAAUUUUUAUUAAUUUACAUAUCAAGUUUGACAUUAAAGUUAAGGUUACACUCUAAAAACGGAACAUUUUAAACUGUUGCUUCUAAACUUUCUCUUUUGUUUCUCUGUGGUCAUUUUCAAUCCAUUUUAUGGUCAUUUUAUGCCUUUUUAUGACCAUUUUAAGUCUGUUUGUGAUAAUUUUAGGUGUUUUUGUGGUCAUUUUAAUAUUUUUUGUAGUUAUUUUGUGUGUCUGUUGUCAUUUUGUGCCUUUAUAUGAUAAUUGUUUGUCUCACUGAGUCAUUUAGUGUUUUUUGUGGUCAUUUUGUGUAAUUUUUUUCAUUUUGUGCAUUUUUGGGUCAUGUUGUGUCCCUUUGUGCAUUUUUGUGGUCAUGUUGUGUCUUUUUGUGAAUGUUUUGUAUGUUUUUGUGCUCAUUUUGUCUCUUUUGGUCAUUUUCAGACUGUUUUGUGGGCAUUUUAGGUCUUUUUAUGGUAAUUUUGUGCAUUUUUGGUCAUUUUGCACAUCUUUGUGGUCAUUUUCAGUCUGUUUGUCAUCAUUUUAGGUGCUUUUGUGGUCAUUUUGUGUGUCUCUGUGACCAUUUUGCAACUUUUUGUAGUUAUUUGUGUGUCUCUUGUCAUUUUAUAUCUUUAUAUACAUGGUGUUUGGUUAUAGACAGUUAUAGGCAUGUUGAUUUUAGGCCUGAAAACAGCAAAAAUGUCAACUAUGAUACCUGUCAACUAUGUUACAAAAAGUCCCACAGUUAUAUAUUGACCCAAAAGUUGUUAUUCAGCAAAUUAGAUAGGACCUCUAAGAAUUUAUAAGUGAUUCUUUAAACUGAUUUGCUACGGUGAUGAUCUGAUAAUUGAUCAUUUGCAGCCUGAAACUUCAGAGAAUAUUAUUCAUAUUCAAAAAAUAUUAACAGUUCAUGGAAAAUAAAAAUUUGUAUAUUUAAAAACUAAAAAUUCAGCGGCUCAGAAACUGUAAAUAAGUCAAUAAAGCAUGUUUUUUUUUCUUGGAAAUGUAACUGUAUAUUUGUCAGUUUGCUGCCCACUGGUGGAUCCAGCUAUUUGCUCCAACUGUAUCCAUUUUUAAAAGUAAGGAAGACAGUUCUGUUAUUUAUGGCUCUUAAUUAAUCCCUUUUAUAUCAUCAAGUCUUUAAUCUGCCAGGAUUUUAAUUAAACUUGUCUCAACUUUUAUCCAUUUUUUGUUUUAUUUCUAAACAAAUAAAUAAAUAAAAAUAUGUAUGUUUUUGUUUUGUUGUGUACUUCAUUUUUUAAAAUUGUUUCCAUUGUUCCUAUCUUUUGUCUCUUUCUGCUCUUUUACUGAAUCAGUUUUUAUUAUUCCAUAAAGUUUGCUUGCACUUUA